rnacentral:rRNA from 1 species
AUUGAACGCUGGCGGCAUGCUUUACACAUGCAAGUCGAACGGCAGCGCGGGCAUCGCCCUGGCGGAGGGGGGCGGACGGGUGAGUAAUGCAGGGGAACGUCCCCAGCUGCUGGGUAUAGCGCGGCGACAGACGGAUUCAUACCGCAUAAGACCAGACGACGUACGCGUGGGACCGAAAGGCCUUGCGCUCUUGCGCGGGCCGAUGUCGGAUUAGCUAGUUGGCGGGGUAAAGGCUUACCAAGGCGACGAUCCGUAGCUGGUCUGAGAGGACGACCAGCCACACUGGGACUGAGACACGGCCCAGACUCCUACGGGAGGCAGCAGUGGGGAAUUUUGGACAAUGGGGGCAACCCUGAUCCAGCCAUGCCGCGUGGGGGAAGAAGGCCUUCGGGUUGUAAAGCGCUUUUGUUCGGGAAGAAAAGCUCUGGGCUAAUACCCCGGUGGGAUGACGGUACCGAAAGAAUAAGCACCGGCUAACUACGUG